GCGCAAGCCUGAUCCAGCCAUGCCGCGUGUGUGAAGAAGGCCUUCGGGUUGUAAAGCUCUUUUAGUCGGGGAGGAAGGACAGUGGNUUAAUCNNUUCUUUUUUUGACGUUACUCACAGAAUAAGCCCCGGCUAACUCCGUGCCAGCAGCCGCGGUAAUACGUAGGGUGCAAGCGUUAAUCGGAAUUACUGGGCGUAAAGCGCGCGCAGGCGGUUUNUUAAGUCNGAUGUGAAAUCCCUGGGCUCAACCUGGGAACUGCAUUUGAAACUGGCUAGCUUGAGUNCNGUAGAGGNGGGUGGAAUUCCAGGUGUAGCGGUGAAAUGCGUAGAUAUCUGGAGGAACACCGGUGGCGAAGGCGGCCC
rnacentral:rRNA from 1 species